rnacentral:rRNA from 1 species
GAUGAACGCUGGCGGCGUGCCUAAUACAUGCAAGUCGAGCGAACAGAUAAGGAGCUUGCUCCUUUGACGUUAGCGGCGGACGGGUGAGUAACACGUGGGUAACCCACCUAUAAGACUGGGAUAACUUCGGGAAACCGGAGCUAAUACCGGAUAACAUUUGGAACCGCAUGGUUCUAAAGUGAAAGAUGGUUUUGCUAUCACUUAUAGAUGGACCCGCGCCGUAUUAGCUAGUUGGUAAGGUAACGGCUUACCAAGGCAACGAUACGUAGCCGACCUGAGAGGGUGAUCGGCCACACUGGAACUGAGACACGGUCCAGACUCCUACGGGAGGCAGCAGUAGGGAAUCUUCCGCAAUGGGCGAAAGCCUGACGGAGCAACGCCGCGUGAGUGAUGAAGGGUUUCGGCUCGUAAAACUCUGUUAUUAGGGAAGAACAAACGUGUAAGUAACUGUGCACGUCUUGACGGUACCUAAUCAGAAAGCCACGGCUAACUACGUG